UUGAUGUACCUUUCUCCUUGAAAACCGUGGUUUUCUAAAGCUUUACAUGCUGAAAACCCCCCUUUUUGGAAGCGCUGUAUUUAUUAAAUUAAAAACCAAUCGAGCUUGCUCGUUACCUUGGGGAUUCAGAAUACCGAAACGAAUCGUAGGACUUCAUGUCGACGAUGAUUCAUUCAAAUUUCUGCCCUAUCACCUUUCAAGGGUAAGGUAUUGCCUUACCAUGGUUACAACGGGUGACGGAAAAUUAGGGUUCAAUUCCGGAAAGGGAGCCUGAAAAACGGCUACCACUUCUACGAAGGGCAGCAGGCGCGCAAAUUACCCAAUCCUGACUCAGGAGGAAAUGACAAAAAAUAACCAUACCUGACUUCGGUCUUGUAAUCGGAAUGAGUACAAUUUAAACCCCUUAACGAAUUCCAUUGGAGGGGGAGUCUGGUA
rnacentral:rRNA from 1 species